AGCCCAUGGUGUGGACACCUUCUCUCCAAAUCCUUAAACCUAUCCCAAGCUUUAUAAAGUGUUUCCAUAUCCAUCCGAGUAAACAUCUAGAUUUCAUUUCUCAGUUU